GCGCUUGCUUCAGAAGCACAUAUACUAAAAUUGGAACAAUACAGAGAAGAUUAGGGUGGCCCCUGUGCAAGGAUGAUGUACAAAUUCACGAAGUGUUCAGUAUUCUC